CGAUGAUUGGGGUGAAGUCGUAACAAGGUAGCCGUAUCGGAAGGUGCGGCUGGAUCACCUCCUUUCUAAGGAG
rnacentral:rRNA from 1 species